CGACUGUUGGAACCUACAUCGUUUCGGACAAAACAGCUGGCGCAACGCUUACCUACGCAAUAACUUCUGGAAACACAAACACUGAUUUCACCUUCACUGCUGCCGGCGUGUUAAAGGUAGCAACUGGAAAGACGCUGGCGCAGAAAACCACCGAGAAAUACACGUUGGUGCUGGGGGUGGCGGAAUCCGGAGGAGCUUCAUCCGCUGACGCUGGAUCAACCAUAGUCACGAUCACCGUUACCACAUGCGGGUGCUCUGCAUUGGCGGCGACACUGGGGCUCACUUUGCCUUCGAUGGUCGUUGCCGUUUCCGCUUAAGGUGGCCCUUGGGGGGGGGGGG